AAACACAAAAAUUAACCAGGAAUGGUGUCACACACUUCUAAUCCCAGCUACUUGGGUGCAUGAGGUGGGAGGAUCCAUUUGAGCCCAGAAGGUUAAUAACAAUUGUAGGUAGGGUAGUUGGUGAGAACUUCCCUGAAGAAAUAAUCCUUGAAUAAAAAGUUGGAAGACUUGAAGCUAAUAUAGCCUACACCUGGGGGAAGAACCUUCCAGGCAGGACAACUGAAGGCUGUUUUCUUCACUGCAGGUGGCUGCCACAUAAGGCUAGCACUUCCUUUUCCAGGGAGGGAGUAUUGAACAAGAUGCAAACACUUAAUUGCUUAGAGGAGAAAGAAGGACCAACUUUGCUUUAGCAAACCUAUUAUUUUUGUACUCUAAAUAAUAUUUAAGCAUUGCAAUAUUUUCAAAUCAAGUAUUAUUCUGAUCAUCAAUCUUUACUGAAAACUUUGUAUACAUACUGUGACAAUCUUUCUUCCUCAUGAGUUUGCUGAAUAUUGUGGAGAGUGAGAUUUACAAAAAUCGUGAGAAAAAAUAUUGUAAUAGCAACUUAGAGAUAGUUGGACUGAAGUUAGAUACAUUCUUACUAGUAGUAAGAGCAAUAAAAUCCAGCAUUUUCUCCAAGAUUCACAUUUCUAAAACAUGUCACUUCUGGACAAGAGGUGACUACCCCAAUUAAGUAAUUUAUUUGUGUGGGGGGACCUAAUUCUAGAACUCUAUAAGAAAACAAGGUGCUUUUGGAUGCUGAUAAAUCCCCCACACAAGAAGUUAUGUUAAAACAUACAUUAUUCUUUUGAAGAGUAUAUGAUGUCUUCCCCAUGACUGGGAAUUCUGAUCAUCCACUUGAGAAAGGAUAAUCUCACUGUUUGUCAAUUGAGGGAUGGCUGUAAACUGAAAAUUACUAUGUAAGUAGCCUGAUAAAAGUACCAAGAAAACUUUAAACACUUCCAUGAUUAAGAAAUAAGAUAAAUAUGAUGGUAGAUAUGAUAAAUAUCUUUAAUCUCAAUCCCUACUACAAUCACAAAAUUUACCUUCUCAGAGAAACAAUCGGAUGACAUUGUAUUGACAUUUUCAAAUUAGGUUUGACAUAUUAAAGUUUUUGUUUGGUAUCAUUCUUUCUGCUGCCCCAGAUUCUAGUGUUAGACAUUUAUAUGUCUCUUACUUCUCAAGCCAUAGAACCAUAACAUGAUUGGCAUAGAUAUCCUUUUUUUUUUUUUUUUUAGCUCCUAAUAUCUGAAAUUGUGAACCAAUUCCAAAGUGUUGACAUUACAUAAUUAUUUUUCAUGGAUGUACAUGUUGUGGCUGGCGUUAUAAGACAAACCUGCAAUAUAGAUAAAUAUCUUCAAACUGCUGCUCCAAUUCUUAUGCCUUUUUUUGAAACUUAUCUAGUGAUUUGCUUUUCCUAUUGCAGUGUUUCAUUAUCAUCUAAGUGAUCAUUUCAAGUGAUUUAAUUAUAAGAUGAAUAAAAUUCAGGCUUCUGGUUGACUAACUAGCUUUUGUUCCCUGAAGAAAUUGGCAGAAAAGGACAUAUCUGUUCGUGAUUUGUUUUCCUCUCACCAAUUUCUGCUUUGAGACAUUUUCUCAAGUAGAGAAAAUUUUCCCACAGACGGCAUUAAUUGGAAAUGUUGUAAUAACAAGUAUGCAGAAAUCUAGUUGUUUAGGAGAAAUUUUCUCUUUCUUCAUGAACAUUUGGAUAAGCUGUCCCAUCAAAUGUCCGAUAUAUUUAAAAUGAGGCCAAACAGAGAUGCAUUUGGUUCACACUUUUCCAAAGUAUGUGUUCUAGAACACUUUUAUCACUAGAUUUCUGCUGGGUUUCUGUGACAAUGCAUCUUAUCUUCUUCUUCAUUAAAUACCUUAUUUCUCAUUAAUUGUUUCAAGGUUUCAAUAUCUUCUACAGUAAAGAAAUCUGAUUAACCUUGCUUAACCCAAUGUUUACCAAAGGUAUUGACUGACAGACUACUUUUUACAUCAGACCAAUUAACAUAUUCUGAGACUAGUGUUUCAGGAAGCAAAUUGCUGCUAAAAUAUCUUCGCAAUUACUGCUAGAAUGAAAUCCAUAUCCAGUUAACAGUGUUUUUCAGUGUUUUGGAACCUUAGUAGACAAUUUGAUACUGGUUUAGAGUCUCGAAUUAUUGACGUUUUAAGAAGUCUGCAGGUGAAUUAUAAUUGGCUACAUACAAAACAAUGCACUUAGAGCAUUAUUUUAAGUUCCAGCACUUGGAAAUUUGCCAGCAAUACUUUGGAAAUGGCAACUAAAGCGUGCAUUUCAUAUAUUAGGUUCUAUGGAACUUUGCUGAAUUUGGAGACAGAAAUGCAUUAAGCAGCAUUUAGUAAAACUGGUUUUAAAUGUGGGAGGAGUUAGUGUUUACUUGCAACACAUAAUUUGAUGGGAGCCCUAAGGCUCUUUAAACCCCAAAGUGUUUUCCUCACAUGCUAUCGUUCAAGGAAAUUCCAAUUUUGGAGCUCUUCCACCUCUCAUUCGAAUUAGAUAAUGAAAACAACCCUGUCAUUUUCUAUCCUAUGCCUGUGCUUAGGUUUUUUCUCUUCCUAAAAUGUCCUUCUCCUUUAUGUCUCAAUCAUUGCCCUUCAUAAUUCUUUAAUAGUUUCAAAUGACCCUUCGCCCCGACACCCUUCCUCAUUCUCUCCAUGGUGACAGCCGUGUGUCCAGGCUUCUGCUGAGGUAAUCCAAAGGUUUCCUAUUUCCUCUAUUUCUAAACAGGACUUCGCUUGCCUCUUUGUCAUAACAGAUUCUAUGAAAUACUGUUACUGGGAAACAUGUAUCAUAUUCCAGCAGUAUUUUCAUAAUCACAGACAGUGUUUUGUUUAUGAUAACUAGUGUCUUUCACAGAGUAGAAAUGCAAAAUCAUAUGGCAUGGAAACUUAAAAUUUGGCCUUGACCAUCACUUUUACAUUAGGACAGUCACAUGAAAAUGCAGGUUGAAAAUCACAUUCUGAGGUUUUUUGUUUUGUUUUUCCUAAGAUACACACUGACUACUUCACAUGUAAACAAAGAAUUUCUUUCUUGAGGAUCCCAGCAUUAUUGGUAAGUUUUCUUGUUGUUGCUUGGAUCUGGCCAUUUUUCAACUGGUUGAAAUUUUUAAAAAGCAACAUGACACCUAAAAUUACAUUGUUAAAUUCAGCUCUCUUAUAUUCUUUCCAGAUAAUUGUUUCUUCAUUUUAUUCGUAGUUAGAAAUAUUUAAAAGAAACUUUUAAAUAAUUUCAGACUUAUUAAAAAUUUUCAAAAGUAGUACAGAAAUUCCUUGACAGUUUGUAAGCAGUGUCUUAAAUGUUAACGUCUUGCAUAAUCAGGGAACAGUUAUUGAAAACAAAAGAUUAAUACUGAACCCAUUCUAUUAACUAAUUCAUAGACCUAUUUGAGUUUCCUUAGUUGUCUCCCUGAGGAUACAGUCUAGGAUUCAGUCUAGGAUACAAUCCAGAAUCCGACAUUGCAGGUAGCUGUCAGGCACUUUGCCUCCAAUCUGACAUUUCUUCAGUCUUUCUUUGUGCAUCAAGAAUUUGACACUUAUCAAGAGCACUAUCCAGUUAUUUUGUAGAACAUCAAUUUCAGGUUGUCUGCGAUGUAAGCAGUCAUUGUGGCCUUUGAAAAAUAGUUUCAUAGUCUUAGGAAUAUUUCUGAAGAUUAUUUGGGUGGAAAACAUUUGUUUCCCGAAUGCUUUGUUGACUUACAUCAUUACUUUCAAAGUGAGAAAAAUGCAUGUUUUAGAGUCUACAAGAAAGGCAGAAAUAUCUUAUUUUUCCUUUCAUGAUUAUUUGUCCUAUAAUAGUCUUUGGAAACAUUUAUGAUGAGAUUGAGUUUCAGAGCUUUGUAAGCCUCUGUUCACAUGAGUAUACGUCUUUUGUCAAAAAAUAUUUUUAAAAUGCGAAGUUAUUUUCAUUAGCAUUCUCCAGAGAGACAAAAUCAAUAAGAUACAUAUGUAGAUAGAUAUAUGAGAGGUGAUUUGUUAGGGGAAUUGGCUCAUGUGAUUAUGGAGGCUGAGAAGUCCUGACACAGGCCAUCUGCAAGCUGGAGAUCCUGGGAUGCCUGUAGCAUGGCUCAGUACAAGUAUUCAAGCUUCAGAACCAGCGAAGUCGAGGGUAAAACUCUCAGUCUGAGACUGAGGUCCUGAGAACCUGGGGAGCCUCUGGUGCAAAUAUCAGGGUCCAAAUGCUGGACAGCCUGGAACUUUUGGUGUCUGAGUGUUACAGGAAAGGGGUACCGAUCCAGAUCCCUAGAGUAGGUUCUUGGAUCUUGUGCAAGAAAAAACUCAGGGCAAGUCCACAGUGCAAAGCAAAAGCAAGUUUAUUAAUAAAGUAGUGAAAGUACAGCUACUCCAUAGACGGAAUAGGGUGUUCCCGAAAGUAAGAGAAGAAACACAUCCACACUAGGUACAAUACUUGUUUACGUACAGGAUAAAAAAAGAUUAUGAGGAGAUGUGCUCUGCUGCAAAAGUUUGUGAUAAAGGAUUACUUUUCUUAAUUAGUAUAUUUUGCAAGAAUCAAUAUUGUGAUCUUGAAAGCAAAAUUAGGAAUGCUUCUUUUCUCAAGGUAAUAGAAUAUCAGGACACUUCUAAGUCUGGGUCUGUUUAGUAAACAUUAUCAAUCUGUUCCCUUGCCCGUAAACAUCUAGAGGCUAGGAAUACCUACGUUUCUGGGAAUGCAACCCAGCCAGUCCCAGCCUCAUUUUCCUAUCCCUCACUGAGAAUGGAGUCGCUGUAGUUUGAAACCCUCCAACACUAGGGCAGAAGAAAUGUGUUAUAUCUCCAGGAGAGAGAGGGAAUGAGAAUUUACCUUUCUUCUGCCUUUUACAACCACAUUGAGGGUGAAUCUUCUCCACCCAACCCACCAACUCACACAGUAAUCUCCUCAGGAAACACCCUACCAGACACACCCAGAACUAAUGCUUUACUGGCUCCCCAGGUAGUCUUUAAUCCAAUAAAGUUGACACCUAAAAUUAAUCAUCACAGUCUUUUAUUUUAAACCACACACAUUACACAUUUUCAUUCUUAGUAACUACGAGUUAGGUAGUAUUAGACAACUUGAGAUGUUGAAAUUUAAUUGUUUCAAGUUAUCCAUUAAUUAUCCUGGUUGGAAAAUCAGGCUUGAUUGAUGUACCUCUUUAAUGAAUAGCACAGAUAAAUCACAUUAAAAUACGAUACUUUUAAAGUGAUGUGUUAAUUCUUUGACACACUUGCCUGCUGCCUUCCAUUUUCCAAUGUACCUUUCUCUCUGGAAAAAACAGACCCUGCUUUUUCACAAACUUCCUUACUCAUUCUGACCAAUUCCUGCACUGAUCAAUUUUGUAAUCAAUUUGCAAUCUGAUUUCUUUGCCUGCCACUUCAUGAAACGGCUUGCUUCCUCAAAAAGUGCAAAUAAUCUUCUAAGCUAAAUCUGCUACUUAAUAUGUGUCAUUGACAAUGCUGGUCACUUUUAUUUUUCAGUGAAACUCUUACCCUCUUGUAACAUCUGAAAUACUCUCUCUUGGCUCCUCUACUGCUCUCUGAACAUAUCUUUUAUUCUCAUCUUCUGCUGCUUGUCUUUUCAAAUAUAGGCAUUCCACAGGUUUAUUCUCUAACCACACCGUGCAUAUGUUCUGGGCCAUCUCAAAUGCUCCCAAAGCUUCAGUUAUUACCUUUAUGCAACUUACUCAAUCUAUACCUUAAAUUUAGAUAUUCAUCCUGAACUUUUUGUUCUGAAUUUCCUAUAGGUACUACAGAUUCAAUUAGGCACUAAACUGAGAUUAUUAAUUUCCCUUAUAAACAUCGAUUUAUUUCUCCUACUUUCCUUGAUUUGGGCUGAAGUUAAAUUCAGUGUUUAGGUUCUCCCAUCCUACUUGUCUCCUGCUUCCUAACCCACAUUAUUUUAAUCUGGAUUACUGUAUUCUCUCUCUCUCACUUUAUGUUUGAACGUGAUAAUUUUUCAUUUAGGUACAGCUUAAAUUCUUUCUCAGUGAUACCUACCCUGUUCAAUUUAGAAAGAACGAAAGAACUAUCAUGUAAUUAACUUCAUUGGAUCAUGUUUUCUCAUUAGUUGUGGUUAUUAGUUUAUCAUUAUCUGUAUUGUUUUCCUCAUUGGACCAUAAGUGUCUCAAGUAAUGCUUGUGGAACUUGUAAGCCAGCCAUUACCUUCUUUGUGUAAUUUGUGAAUUGUGCUGAAAUGAUUUACCCCUGGUUUGUUGUUGUUGUUGUUAUUGUGUUGUAUUGUGCUUUGUGAUUCAGCCCUGCAAACUCCACCAUGCUCUUCCCAUGAUAAUGUUACACUGUAACAUAGAUCAUUGGCAUUCCAAAAAACCCAUCCAUCCAUGUAUUGAUUUAUUUGCAAAAUAUGGGCAAGUAAGCUAGAAAUAAAUCAUUAAUUUCCUCUCAGUCUCUCAGAGCAAUAUAUUGGGCAGUUACUUGAGUGAGAUUUUUUUUUUUAAUCAAACCAAAUAUGCUGAGCCAGGAAUAACAUCAAAUGUGUUUGUGAUGUACUGUUGCUCUCAUUAGUCAACUGCAGAUCAAACAGGUAUCUGUUCUAACACUUUGAUUUUGAAACUUAAUGCUGUGUUUGUUUAAUUUACUUAAUUAGGACCUCUUAACACCUCAGUUGCUUAAAACAACAACACAAACAACAGUAACACCCAGCUAUUAGCCCAGCUGAUGAAAGAAUAAAUGCAAAUUUAACACUUUUUAACAGUGAAUACACACAUUUUGAUGCCUUGACAACAUUCAAUAAAAAUCAAGUGUGCUAAGAGAUAAUCUACUAAGUUGCUGAUCGUUUUUGGACCCGCAUCUCCUAAUAAAUACUGAAAAUAGCUAGAAGAUAUUGAUCAUUAUUUAAGGGAAAUAUUUGCAUGUAUAUGCAUAAAUGCAAUCUUUUAUAAUCUAAAAAUACUUUUCAGGAGCUCUUUCUGAGAUGAGGAGAACUCUUAAUGUCAAGAUUUGAACAAGAAGAGAAUGGAAUACACAUAUAGAUUUGUGGGGACAUUACUUCCUGUGUGCCUUACCUAGUCAGUUGAGUUCACUAUUUUGCCACCAGGACUGUCAUUCACAAGCCUGGCAAAGGCUGGCUGUGAAGUCUGUACCUCUACUCUCGCCUACUCCUUAGAUGAAAUGACCUGAAAGUAACACUACUUCUUAUUGAUCCUCCUGGCUAGCAUACCCCAUUCACCUUCUUCCAGGUUUAUCCAAGAUACCCUAAGAAUGCUUGCUGUGCAAGGCAAUCUUUUAACAUUGGUCUAACUCCUAUUCUCUGAUUGCACACCUUCUGCAAGAGACUGAGCUUGAGAAAGUAUCAAUACUCAUUUAUAACUUACUUUUUUUAAGGAACCAUGCAUACAUAUAUAUUCCUGGAGGAGUAAACAGUAUGUAUAUUUUUAUAGACUCAUGCAGUGGGUUUUAAAUACAAUUUGUUGUGUAAUUUUUGUCAAAUUUCUUAGCUUCUCCAAAUCUUAGUUUCCAAAUAUGUUGAAAGGAAGUAUAUAAAAAUUACCAAUUUAUAAUUUCAUUUUGAUGAUUAAAUGUAUUAUUGUACCCAAAGCACUUAGAAGAGCACCUGGCACAUAAAAACAUGAAAUAGACCAUUUUGAUUAUUUCGUAGAAAGAUAUAAGUCAUGGUAUUAUUUAUUAUUAAUUAAUAUGUUGAAGGAAUAAUUAGUAAAAAUGAAUAUAUGAUAUCCAUUGAUGUGCUUUCCAUUGAUGUCCUGAUGUAAAUAGCAGUAAUUACUUACAAAAGAUAGCUAACAUUUCUGGGAAAGAUAUUCUAAUCAAUAGUUGCUAUUUGUGGCAGGUUAAGCAUUUGAAUUUAAAAA